rnacentral:pre_miRNA from 1 species
UAUAUAUUCCCUCCUUUCCAAAAUUCUUGUCUUAGAUUUGUUUAAAUAUGAAUGUAUUUAGUCAAGUUAUAGUAUUUGGAUACAUCCAUUUCUAAACAAAACUAAGACAAGAAUUUUGGAACGGAGGGAGUAGUCG